AGAGUUUGAUCCUGGCUCAGAGCGAACGCUGGCGGCAGGCCUAACACAUGCAAGUCGAACGGACCCUUCGGGGUUAGUGGCGGACGGGUGAGUAACACGUGGGAACGUGCCUUUAGGUUCGGAAUAGCUCCUGGAAACGGGUGGUAAUGCCGAAUGUGCCCUUCGGGGGAAAGAUUUAUCGCCUUUAGAGCGGCCCGCGUCUGAUUAGCUUGUUGGUGAGGUAAUGGCUCACCAAGGCUACGAUCAGUAGCUGGUCUGAGAGGAUGACCAGCCACAUUGGGACUGAGACACGGCCCAAACUCCUACGGGAGGCAGCAGUGGGGAAUCUUGCGCAAUGGGCGAAAGCCUGACGCAGCCAUGCCGCGUGUAUGAUGAAGGUCUUAGGAUUGUAAAAUACUUUCACCGGUGAAGAUAAUGACUGUAGCCGGAGAAGAAGCCCCGGCUAACUUCGUGCCAGCAGCCGCGGUAAUACGAAGGGGGCUAGCGUUGCUCGGAAUUACUGGGCGUAAAGGGAGCGUAGGCGGACAUUUAAGUCAGAGGUGAAAUCCCGGAGCUUAACUUCGGAACUGCCUUUGAUACUGGGUGUCUUGAGUGUGAGAGAGGUAUGUGGAACUCCGAGUGUAGAGGUGAAAUUCGUAGAUAUUCGGAAGAACACCAGUGGCGAAGGCGACAUACUGGCUCAUUACUGACGCUGAGGCUCGAAAGCGUGGGGAGCAAACAGGAUUAGAUACCCUGGUAGUCCACGCCGUAAACGAUGAUUGCUAGUUGUCGGGCUGCAUGCAGUUCGGUGACGCAGCUAA
rnacentral:rRNA from 1 species